rnacentral:lncRNA from 1 species
UCCCGGCCAACCGUGCCAUGAAGAGUCGAGCAAGAGCAAUCGCAGCUUUAUCUCUGCCUUUGCUGCUCUCAUUCCUGCCUUAUAAAAGCUUCAAUCUACAAAAGUAGAACUACUGAUGACAGGUCUGGCCUACAACUGACUUGCUUUCAGACUUACUGGCUGAAGAGCAAAGAGAUAUCUAUUUUACAGUAAAUUCCUCUU